GUCCCCUUCCCCGCAUCUUGCUGCCUCUCCCUCCAACACUGGCGCCCCCCGCCCGCAGCGGCUACCCUCCAGCUUCGGCCAUGCCCGCCGCGAUUGCUGCUUGCUGCUGGCCACACUCUCUUGCCUGCUCGCUCUAAUAGGCUGCUCCACACCUCUGUGCUUUUUACUCGUUUUUCCUCUUCCCCUAAAUAUGUCCGCUCCUGCGUGGAAUACUCUCAGUUCGUGCAAUUCGAUUUUCCUCUUUCCCCAAAUUCGUCUGGUCCAGCGAUCAAUUUACUCGUUUUUCCUCUUUCCCCAAAUUCGUCUGAUCCAAAUCAUCAUGCCAGUGUAUGCAAUUUUCUCCUUCUCCUUCGGAUCCUAGAUCCAACAGUGGCUGUGCUGCUUGUUAUUUUUCAAGGAGGCUUGUCGAUAAUCCCAAAUACUACCUAUAUAAACAGGUAAAUCUCCGCCUAGUCGGCGGACAGAAGCCCAACAUGAAGGCCCAGUUCGGUGUGAUCUUUUUUCUGGCAGGAAGACGAAUCGCCUGGGGCGGCCUGAGCCGGUGGGCGUGAAGGAGCGAGGGUGGGGCGGAGUCCAGCGGCGGCGAGCAGGUCGGGCGCAUCGCGCCCCGCGGUAGAGUUCUCUGCUCCCUCAUUCGGCUACAGGAGGGAAAAAGGAAAACUAAAUGAACCGGUACCAUGGCAACUUAAUGUAUGCGACUUGGUGGAAGGGCAAAACCGUCCAAAAAAAAGCGUUGACGAAAAUUUUGGCAGAAA